rnacentral:rRNA from 1 species
CCUACGGGAGGCAGCAGUGGGGAAUAUUGGGCAAUGGGCGCAAGCCUGACCCAGCAACGCCGCGUGAAGGAAGAAGGCUUUCGGGUUGUAAACUUCUUUUCUCAGGGACGAAUAAAGUGACGGUACCUGAGGGAUAAGCCACGGCUAACUACGUGCCAGCAGCCGCGGUAAUACGUAGGUGGCAAGCGUUAUCCGGAUUUAUUGGGUGUAAAGGGCGUGUAGGCGGGAGCGCAAGUCAGAUGUGAAAACUCAGGGCUCAACCCUGAGCCUGCAUUUGAAACUGUGUUUCUUGAGUGCUGGAGAGGCAAUCGGAAUUCCGUGUGUAGCGGUGAAAUGCGUAGAUAUACGGAGGAACACCAGUGGCGAAGGCGGAUUGCUGGACAGUAACUGACGCUGAGGCGCGAAAGCGUGGGGAGCAAACAGGAUUAGAUACCCUAGUAGUC